GAUCAGGGUAAACGUCAACUAAAAACCGCCACGUCCUGUGGCGAACGUUGAAGCCGGCACAUCCUGUGCA
rnacentral:sRNA from 1 species